UACGUAGGGUGCGAGCGUUGUCCGGAAUUAUUGGGCGUAAAGAGCUCGUAGGCGGUUUGUCGCGUCGACUGUGAAAUCCCCGAGCUCAACUCGGGAACUGCGUCCGAUACUGGCGGGCUUGAAUCCGGGAGAGGGAUGCGGAAUUCCAGGUGUAGCGGUGAAAUGCGCAGAUAUCAGGAGGAACACCGGUGGCGAAGGCGGGUCUCUGGGCAACAACUGACGCUGAGGAGCGAAAGCGUGGGGAGCGAACAGG
rnacentral:rRNA from 1 species